rnacentral:lncRNA from 1 species
GCAUCCUCGGCUUCUGUUGGUUUGCAUGACAGCCCCAGAUCCUCAGUGAUGGCCCUGAUUUUGUGCUUGGGAUGUGUUUCCACCCUCUGGAGGAUGAGUCCAGAAAUACUCUCCAUCCCUGGAGGAUUCCACUCGGACUCUGGCUGUCCUCAGCCAGCAGCAGCAAGGUGGUGACCGCAUGCCUGCCAGCCACCCGAGACCUCCAGGCAUGGUGUGGUGGGGCAGCUGGUGUUGUGAAUCAGGCCGUUGCCAAUCAGAGAACGGCUACUUCACAACACCAGGGUCACACCCCAUCACAGGCACCGGCUGCCGUCAAGGCUGCGCAGCGGCUCAUCUCAGGGACACAGCCAUGCCCUCUGGAAGCCCAGCAUGCAUGCAGCUGUGGCUCCUCCUGCACAAACAGCUCUACUCAUAAAAGAAAAACCACUCCUGGCUAUGGCCUUCCCACUGUGAAACGGAGCUUUCACCCCUGAAGCAGCGGGACGGAGGAAGACAGCCUGGUGGAAACGCACCGAGCAAGGUUGCACAGAGCCUGAGAGAAGCAGAACAGCCCUGGGUCCCUGUCCCCUUGGGGUUCCGGGAGGGGAGUCUGCCGCCCCUCACCCACCCCAAACCACGGCAUGUCUGACGUUUGUACCAAGUUAUGCCUGGGACAGGUAUCUUAGAGUUGAGAGUCCUAGUUUCUCGGAAGUUCCUGCUGCCUUUUCCUGGAAACACCUGCGCCGCCCGCCUCGGAGAAUCCAUGCCCUAGCAGCGCCCUGACCACAGCACGGUGAAGCCAGUGCGGCUUGCGUGGCCCCCAGGGCGGCCGGGGGCAGAGGGGGGAUCCGGCCGCACAGCACACCCCGGUGCAGCGGUCUCAGCCCGGGGCGGGCGAGGCUGGGGCCUUCCGCAGCGCCCGCAGGUGCAGGCCCUCGUGCGGCUCCGCGGCCUGCACGCCCCCGGCCCUCGCCAUCCUCCCCGUGCUGUCCAGCCGGUUCCCGAGCCCAGGCUCCCCAC